UACGUAGGGGGGCUAGCGUUGUCCGGAAUCAUUGGGCGUAAAGAGCGUGUAGGCGGCCCGGUAAGUCCGCUGUGAAAGUCGGGGGCUCAACCCUCGAAUGCCGGUGGAUACUGUCGGGCUAGAGUGCGGAAGAGGCGAGUGGAAUUCCUGGUGUAGCGGUGAAAUGCGCAGAUAUCAGGAGGAACACCGGUGGCGAAGGCGCUGCUCUGGGCCGGUACUGACGUGAGGGAGCGAAAAGCGUGGGUAGCAAACAGG
rnacentral:rRNA from 1 species